rnacentral:misc_RNA from 1 species
UUAAGUUCAGCGGGUAUCCCUACCUGAUCCGAGGUCAAGCGUAAAAUGGUAGACUUGUGGAUGCCACCGCUCGACGCAGCGGAGAGCGCAAAAUGUGCUGCGCUCCCACACGGGACGGCGGGCUGCCAAUGCAUUUGAGGCGAGUUCACGCGCGCAGCGGAACAAAACGCCCAACACCCAGCAGGGCUGGAGGGUACAAA